rnacentral:lncRNA from 1 species
GGCUGAAGGGAGCUCUGUGUUUGGGGGCACUAUACACCUGCAGACUGUUGAGGCGACGUAAGGAAGCAAUAACAAGACCACCAGAAAUGAUUAGGGAGCAGCAGAUUGGAACAAGAGAGCAAACCACACGAGAGGAAUGCGAACUUCAUCCAGGUUCUGACAUAAUCGAGUCCAAAAACUACCUUAGAAGAUGGGUAGAAGCGGUAACAGUGCCAGGAAACAGAGAAGCCAACAAAUAAUACUUUUCUCACAGAGAGUUCAUUUGUAAAAAGCCUGAUUGGGGAAAGGGGAUAAUCUUUGAAUAGAGUUUAAAUUUUGAUUGUUAUUUGACAUG